rnacentral:rRNA from 1 species
UACGAAGGGGGCGAGCGUUGUUCGGAUUUACUGGGCGUAAAGGGCGCGCAGGCGGCUCAUUUUGUCAGGCGUGAAAGCCCCGGGCUUAACCUGGGAACUGCGUUUGAUACGGGUGGGCUAGAGUUCGGGAGAGGAGCGUGGAAUUCCCAGUGUAGAGGUGAAAUUCGUAGAUAUUGGGAAGAACACCGGUGGCGAAGGCGGCGCUCUGGACCGAGACUGACGCUGAGGCGCGAAAGCUAGGGGAGCAAACGGG